GAUUAACGCUGGCGGCGUGCAUAACACAUGCAAGUCGAACGAUGAAACUUAAAUGAUCUCUUCGGAGUGAUUCUAAGUGGAUUAGUGGCGGACGGGUGAGUAACGCGUGAGUAACCUGCCUUAGAGAAGGGGAUAGCCUUUGGAAACGAAGAAUAAUACCCUAUGAUACAAACCCCACGCAUGUAGAGUUGGUCAAAGAUUUAUCGCUCUAAGAUGGACUUGCGUCUGAUUAGUUAGUUGGUGAGGUAACGGCCCACCAAGACAGCGAUCAGUAGCCGGCUUGAGAGAGUGUACGGCCACAUUGGGACUGAGACACGGCCCAGACUCCUACGGGAGGCAGCAGUGGGGAAUUUUGCACAAUGGGGGAAACCCUGAUGCAGCGACGCCGCGUGAUUUAGAAGGCCUUCGGGUUGUAAAAAUCUUUUCUAUGGGAAGAAAAUGACAGUACCAUAGGAAUAAGGACCGGCUAAUUACGUG
rnacentral:rRNA from 1 species